UCCUGGCUUGGGAUGAACGCUGGCGGCGUGCCUAACACAUGCAAGUCGAGCGGUAUACAUUGGAAUGAAACUUCGGUCGAGUGAAGAUGUAGAGAGCGGCGGACGGGUGAGUAACGCGUAGGCAACCUGCCCCAUACAGAGGGAUAGCCUCGGGAAACCGGGAUUAAAACCUCAUAAUGCGAGAGAGUCACAUGGCUUUUUCGCCAAAGAUUUAUCGGUAUGGGAUGGGCCUGCGUCUGAUUAGCUAGUUGGUGGGGUAACGGCUCACCAAGGCAACGAUCAGUAGCCGACCUGAGAGGGUAAUCGGCCACAUUGGAACUGAGACACGGUCCAAACUCCUACGGGAGGCAGCAGUGGGGAAUAUUGCACAAUGGGCGAAAGCCUGAAUGCAGCAACGCCGCGUGAGCGAUGAAGGCCUUUGGGUCGUAAAGCUCUGUCCUUGGGGAAGAAUAAAUGACGGUACCCUUGGAGGAAGCCCCGGCUAACUACGUGCCAGCCGCCGC
rnacentral:rRNA from 1 species